GCAUCAAUAAUUUAAUGGUAGAAUAUCCGUUUUCCAAAUGGACUAUGGCGGUUCGAUUCCGUCUUGAUGCA
rfam:Capsaspora owczarzaki ATCC 30864 unplaced genomic scaffold supercont2.15, whole genome shotgun sequence.